rnacentral:rRNA from 1 species
CAGCAGCCGCGGUAAUGCGUAGGUGGCAAGCGUUGUCCGGAAUUAUUGGGCGUAAAGGGCUCGCAGGCGGUUUCUUAAGUCUGAUGUGAAAGCCCCCGGCUCAACCGGGGAGGGUCGUUGGAAACUGGGAAACUUGAGUGCAGAAGAGGAGAGUGGAAUUCCACGUGUAGCGGUGAAAUGCGUAGAGAUGUGGAGGAACACCAGUGGCGAAGGCGACUCUCUGGUCUGUAACUGACGCUGAGGAGCGAAAGCGUGGGGAGCGAACAGGAUUAGAUACCCCUGUAGUCCCUGUCUCUUAUAC